UACGUAGGGGGCAAGCGUUGUCCGGAUUUAUUGGGCGUAAAGAGCGUGUAGGCGGCCAGACAGGUCCGUUGUGAAAACUCGAGGCUCAACCUCGAGAUGUCGAUGGAAACCGUCUGGCUAGAGUCCGGAAGAGGAGUGUGGAAUUCCUGGUGUAGCGGUGAAAUGCGCAGAUAUCGGGAGGAAUACCAGUGGCGAAGGCGGCUUCCUGGCCUGUUCUUGACGCUGAGGCGCGAAAGCUAGGGUAGCAAACGGG
rnacentral:rRNA from 1 species